CCAUGCAUCCUAUUGGGCUGUUUUGGGCCGAAUUUAACAUGUGAUAUUCCUAAAACUUAAAAAUUAACUUAAACAACUAAAAUGUUUACAAAUUGGGCCCUUUGACAUUUUGGCCUGAUUUUCAACUAAAUAUGUAUAGAUUUCUUGAUUGGGCUGGGAAUUUGCUUAUUGGGCCUCGCCUUUAAGAAUUUGGGCUUGUGAUCCAUCUCCUACCGAAAUUGGGUCGUUGACGCUCGUAAUGGAGAUCCAACGCGCUUUGGCUGCAAGAUUCAGUUUCUUGGACUAAGAUUUCCAA
rnacentral:lncRNA from 1 species